GGUUUUUUUUUUUCUUUUUC
rnacentral:miRNA from 1 species